UACGUUUUAGUAUAUUGAUGUAUAAAAAUUUUUGAUAUUUUGGGAGAUAGGUUGUUCUAUUAGGCGUAA
rnacentral:tRNA from 1 species